GUGUGGGCAGCACUGCCCCAAGAGCAUGACCCCAAAGGCCUGGCUGUGAGCACUGAGCCCUCCUGGCUGUAUCUUCCUAGAUGAUGUGUUCCUGCCCAAGGACAUGGAUGGGGUGGAGAUGGAUGAGACUGACCGGGAGGUGGAGUACUUCAAGAGGUUCUGUUUGGAUUCUGCAAAGCAAACUCGUCAGAAAGUUGCUGUAAACUGGACCAACUUCAGCCUCAAGAAAACCACUCCUAGCACAGCUCAGUGAGCCCCUGCCAGGUCGAGCUCCUUCAAGGUGCACUGAUAUCCCGACUGCCAGCGGAAGGUCUACAGUUUCCUCCUCCACGUGCCCCACCCACCUGCCCGGGACCCUGCUCCCACCGCCCCGGACCAACCAAAAGCUGAACGGAUGCCAGCCGUGCUGGGGCCCACAGCCCUCAGCAGGGCCGCUUCCUGGUGCUACUCAGCCUUCACACUCAGCCCGGGACUGCGCCGGCCCAUGGGCCGGGGGCUGAUGGUACUGCUGGCCCAACACUGCUCUCUUUGUGUUUGGUUUUCUUGUUGUUGUU